rnacentral:rRNA from 1 species
UUAAGCGACUAAGCGUACACGGUGGAUGCCCUGGCAGUCAGAGGCGAUGAAGGGCGUGCUAAUCUGCGAUAAGCGCCGGUAAGGUGAUAUGAACCGUUAUAACCGGCGAUACCCGAAUGGGGAAACCCAGUGUGAUUCGUCACACUAUCAUUAACUGAAUCCAUAGGUUAAUGAGGCGAACCGGGGGAACUGAAACAUCUAAGUACCCCGAGGAAAAGAAAUCAACCGAGAUUCCCCCAGUAGCGGCGAGCGAACGGGGAGGAGCCCAGAGCCUGAAUCAGCAUGUGUGUUAGUGGAAGCGUCUGGAAAGGCGCGCGAUACAGGGUGACAGCCCCGUACACAAAAGCGCAUAUGCUGUGAGCUCGAUGAGUAGGGCGGGACACGUGGUAUCCUGUCUGAAUAUGGGGGGACCAUCCUCCAAGGCUAAAUACUCCUGACUGACCGAUAGUGAACCAGUACCGUGAGGGAAAGGCGAAAAGAACCCCGGCGAGGGGAGUGAAAAAGAACCUGAAACCGUGUACGUACAAGCAGUGGGAGCCCCACCACUAAGCCAGUGGUGAACUCCACAUACGCAUCCUUUGCUGAGGAUACGGUUAACGGAGCGAAAGCGACGUUCAACCUCAAAAGAAGCAGAGGGGGCUUAGUGGUGGGGUGACUGCGUACCUUUUGUAUAAUGGGUCAGCGACUUAUAUUCUGUAGCAAGGUUAACCGAAUAGGGGAGCCGGAGGGAAACCGAGUCUUAAUUGGGCGUUAAGUUGCAGGGUAUAGACCCGAAACCCGGUGAUCUAGCCAUGGGCAGGUUGAAGGUUGGGUAACACUAACUGGAGGACCGAACCGACUAAUGUUGAAAAAUUAGCGGAUGACCUGUGGCUGGGGGUGAAAGGCCAAUCAAACCGGGAGAUAGCUGGUUCUCCCCGAAAGCUAUUUAGGUAGCGCCUCGUGAAUUCAUCUCCGGGGGUAGAGCACUGUUUCGGCUAGGGGGCCAUCCCGGCUUACCAACCCGAUGCAAACUGCGAAUACCGGAGAAUGUUAUCACGGGAGACACACGGCGGGUGCUAACGUCCGUCGUGAAGAGGGAAACAACCCAGACCGCCAGCUAAGGUCCCAAAGUCAUGGUUAAGUGGGAAACGAUGUGGGAAGGCCCAGACAGCCAGGAUGUUGGCUUAGAAGCAGCCAUCAUUUAAAGAAAGCGUAAUAGCUCACUGGUCGAGUCGGCCUGCGCGGAAGAUGUAACGGGGCUAAACCAUGCACCGAAGCUGCGGCAGCGACGCUGAUGCGUUGUUGGGUAGGGGAGCGUUCUGUAAGCCUGUGAAGGUGGCCUGUGAGGGUUGCUGGAGGUAUCAGAAGUGCGAAUGCUGACAUAAGUAACGAUAAAGCGGGUGAAAAGCCCGCUCGCCGGAAGACCAAGGGUUCCUGUCCAACGUUAAUCGGGGCAGGGUGAGUCGACCCCUAAGGCGAGGCCGAAAGGCGUAGUCGAUGGGAAACGGGUUAAUAUUCCCGUACUUGGUGUUACUGCGAAGGGGGGACGGAGAAGGCUAUGUUGGCCGGGCGACGGUUGUCCCGGUUUAAGCGUGUAGGCUGGUUUUCCAGGCAAAUCCGGAAAAUCAAGGCUGAGGCGUGAUGACGAGGCACUACGGUGCUGAAGCAACAAAUGCCCUGCUUCCAGGAAAAGCCUCUAAGCAUCAGGUAACAUCAAAUCGUACCCCAAACCGACACAGGUGGUCAGGUAGAGAAUACCAAGGCGCUUGAGAGAACUCGGGUGAAGGAACUAGGCAAAAUGGUGCCGUAACUUCGGGAGAAGGCACGCUGACAUGUAGGUGAAGUGAUUUACUCAUGGAGCUGAAGUCAGUCGAAGAUACCAGCUGGCUGCAACUGUUUAUUAAAAACACAGCACUGUGCAAACACGAAAGUGGACGUAUACGGUGUGACGCCUGCCCGGUGCCGGAAGGUUAAUUGAUGGGGUCAGCGCAAGCGAAGCUCCUGAUCGAAGCCCCGGUAAACGGCGGCCGUAACUAUAACGGUCCUAAGGUAGCGAAAUUCCUUGUCGGGUAAGUUCCGACCUGCACGAAUGGCGUAAUGAUGGCCAGGCUGUCUCCACCCGAGACUCAGUGAAAUUGAACUCGCUGUGAAGAUGCAGUGUACCCGCGGCAAGACGGAAAGACCCCGUGAACCUUUACUAUAGCUUGACACUGAACAUUGAGCCUUGAUGUGUAGGAUAGGUGGGAGGCUUUGAAGUGUGGACGCCAGUCUGCAUGGAGCCGACCUUGAAAUACCACCCUUUAAUGUUUGAUGUUCUAACGUGGACCCGUAAUCCGGGUUGCGGACAGUGUCUGGUGGGUAGUUUGACUGGGGCGGUCUCCUCCUAAAGAGUAACGGAGGAGCACGAAGGUUGGCUAAUCCUGGUCGGACAUCAGGAGGUUAGUGCAAUGGCAUAAGCCAGCUUGACUGCGAGCGUGACGGCGCGAGCAGGUGCGAAAGCAGGUCAUAGUGAUCCGGUGGUUCUGAAUGGAAGGGCCAUCGCUCAACGGAUAAAAGGUACUCCGGGGAUAACAGGCUGAUACCGCCCAAGAGUUCAUAUCGACGGCGGUGUUUGGCACCUCGAUGUCGGCUCAUCACAUCCUGGGGCUGAAGUAGGUCCCAAGGGUAUGGCUGUUCGCCAUUUAAAGUGGUACGCGAGCUGGGUUUAGAACGUCGUGAGACAGUUCGGUCCCUAUCUGCCGUGGGCGCUGGAGAACUGAGGGGGGCUGCUCCUAGUACGAGAGGACCGGAGUGGACGCAUCACUGGUGUUCGGGUUGUCAUGCCAAUGGCACUGCCCGGUAGCUAAAUGCGGAAGAGAUAAGUGCUGAAAGCAUCUAAGCACGAAACUUGCCCCGAGAUGAGUUCUCCCUGAGACUUUAGGUCUCCUGAAGGAACGUUGAAGACGACGACGUUGAUAGGCCGGGUGUGUAAGCGCAGCGAUGCGUUGAGCUAACCGGUACUAAUGAACCGUGAGGCUUAACCUU